UACGGAGGGUGCGAGCGUUGUCCGGAAUCACUGGGCGUAAAGAGUGCGUAGGCGGGUCUUUAAGUCAGGGGUGAAAUCCUGGAGCUCAACUCCAGAACUGCCUUUGAUACUGAAGAUCUUGAGUUCGGGAGAGGUGAGUGGAACUGCGAGUGUAGAGGUGAAAUUCGUAGAUAUUCGCAAGAACACCAGUGGCGAAGGCGGCUCACUGGCCCGAUACUGACGCUGAGGCACGAAAGCGUGGGGAGCAAACAGG
rnacentral:rRNA from 1 species